ensembl:lncRNA LINC02759 long intergenic non-protein coding RNA 2759
GUUCUACCUCUUGACAUGUAGUAUGAACAUAAAGCACAGUUGAUUCCUGAGCUGUGAUGACUUUCCACUGACCAUACUACUGCAAUGAUGUUAUUCUGGGCCAAACUUCGGAAUCAAUUCUUGUCUGCUGCCUGAUUCAAUUAUUUUUAAUGCACCCUGUGGAUUUUUACUUGCUAAAGUAGAAAGAAGAUCCCAACAUUUGAUGAGAAAAUAUACAGAAGGGAGGCUGAUCCCGGGUGCACUGUGGCAGGUGGCAGUAUAGAUUUUUGUGAAGCAGCAGUGUGCUGUGAUAUGAGUAGCAGAUGAAGAAGGAAGGAAAUGAAGUCACUCAAUUCUUAUAUGGCAUAAUUACUCUUAUAUUUGGAAUCAACAUGUGGAAUUUCUAGAUUUUCUCUAGUUAAGAAAUUUGAAAAUGGCCUGACUAGAUUAUUUUGGCUUGAGGACUCUCAGGAGAUUCACUUCAGAUUUUGUUCAUUA